GAAUGCUUAGUGCUGGUAUCUGACUCAUGGCUCAGUGCUCCAUUAGCUCUUAAACAGGAAUAUAACUAUUUUUGUAAUUCUUUUGUCCAAAGGUAUAGCAGAAAGUCAUCGAGCAUAUAUGAAAACAAAUCCGAGACAUCAAAUGUGGAAGCAUCUAACAAUAAAAACAGGAAUUCCAGUCCCAACGCCAGACAAAAGAGAGGUUGGCCCAGUAGGCAAAUGCCAUCUCUAGACACAUUUGAAGACUUUGAAGCCAUUCCUUCCAGCAUGGAUGAACUCUCCAACUCUUCAGACAUGGAGGAAGAAACCAACCCUAACAAUGGGACCAAUCUUUUUCGAGUAGAAGGCAGUUUUGACAGCUGUUUCCCAGAUUCUCUUACACUUGAGGAUGGAGAUCUAGUGCAGUUUGUGCAGGAAGGAGAAAAUGGGCAAUGGUUAGUGAAGAAAUUGGUCUCGGAGAAAAGUGAGUGGGUUCCUUCCAGUAUAUUGCAGCCAGCAGAGGGGGACACUAACAACAUAAUUAAGAACAGCAAUGCAGACAUGUACAAUGAUUCCUGCAGCACGGCUUCAGUUGAGUCGGACACCAAGGAGAGUGAGGUGGCUAAAAGCUUCCCAGCAGAACAGAGGGCUGGCAGCUGAAUGGCAGGACCAGCCUUCCUCAGGACCCUCUCCAUCCCUUUGUUUAUUUUGGGUUGACACUGGAUCAAAGUUGCCUUUCUCACAAGCUCUGAGCUUCAUAAUUCUCUGAAACUUCAUUAACAUGGACAGAUGAGAGGAAAAACAAACUUGAGAGGAACAUUAAACAUCCAGACAACAUCAAGAACCAUCUUCAGUAUUAGAGGAGAAAAAUGCUUCUUGCAUUGUUUAUCAAACUGUUUCAGAAGAUGUGGCCUAAAUUAGGUCGACAGCAGAGCUGAAGAGUUACUAUGCACGCACCUUUUGGCAACUUUCCUUGAACACCGAGUUACUGCAGAGGGACACAUACAUGGUUCUGAGUUCUUGCUCGACCACGGGUCACUUGGAGGUUUUUCCAUUUGCUUGCCUCAGUAGCUGUGCCUUCCCCACUCUCCUUAAUUACAGCUGAUAGAUCACAAAUGUGCCCUUUUUGCUGAUGGUCAUCACCAAAACUGUCACACUUUAGAUUGGAUGUGGAAAGGAAACUUCUGACUUGGACCGUCAGAGUGGCUUCAAUACAGCAAUGGCACAGUGAACAACCUGUUGCGUUCAGCAUUAGUUUGGGAUAAUGCAGAUGGCAACUUGAUAUAAGGUGGAGAUGCAGGUCUUAGCCAAGAGGCAAAGACAUUGUGACAGCUACUGUGACACAGAGCAUAUUUAACUCUUUUUACAACAUAAGUUAUUCCUCUGCGCCCUCUGCAGUCUGUGGUUGCUGGUUCACAAUCCUUUGCGUUUGGUGCCGAGAAUUCAAAUGAAUGCCAUUUAAUGUCAUAUGUUUGAGUAGACUGCAUGCUUUCUUUUUGUGCUGGGCUAUGGAGUAGCUACAUUUCAUUCCCCAUAUGGAAUAUAUUUAAGCAUCACAAAUAGACAGUGAGCAUUAGGUGCUCCAAUGAAUGGGUAAAGUGUUGUUGUUAAAUACUUUUUUCCAGGACGUUUGGUUAUAGGACUGUACCAAAUCUCUGCCACAUAAGGAUGUAAUGUACUAUAUGAAGUGAUUACAGAUUUUAUUAUUCCAUUACAAGCCAUUAGCUCAUUUAGAGCAGCUGUUAAGGCAUGAAAGCAUUUUGAUGGUAAUUGGGUCUUAGGUCUCACAAAAGCUGCUAGUACUUUAGUUUAGUGUUGACUAAGGGUUGCAAACAAGUAAAGAUCAGACAGAAGAAGUGACCCUAGGAGCUCAAGAAUUGGUGAUUGGCUUUUACUGUUAGAGAUCUUCUGUUUAUCCCUAAGAGUAGUGAUGCUCUAUGUAAAUAAUAAAAGGGACAAGAGCACUAAAAAUGGAGAUGAAGCAAAACCAAAAAUCACUCCUUGGUAAAAUAGCAAAACAGUAAGAGUCUGCACCAUUUCUGUUAUCCUCUUUGCAGGGACCUGAACAUUUUUCUUUGUGUUUCAGUGAAGGCUGGUAUUGCAAAUAUCUUAGUGUGUGAGUCAGGAUAGCUGUGAAGCAAGUAAAUAGUCCCAUUCAAGAAAAAGCCCCAAAGUAAGUAGAUAAAGGUUUAUUCAGAUUAUUAUUAUUAUUAUUAUUUGCCUGUGAAGGAUUACUAGUUAAUUAUUAGUUGCACUGUGGUGGUGAAUUNGCUCCUGUCUACCCUUGCCCUAAGCACAGGAGAGGAAAGGGGAAGGGAGCUUUGAUUGCACAUUAAGUAAGUAUAGUAAGAUUUGUGUGUGAGCAAGAGAGAGAGAUGGGGAAGGGUUACCCUGUGUAUGUGAAACUGCCAAAACUAGUAUUUGUGACAUUACACACUCAUGGAAAGACCCCAACCUGCACUUUGGAGUUUCAAGUGAAGGAAUCUCAUUCUAAUGGUGAAAUAGCAGUGGGAAUUCUGUGUUUGAACUGGAGAUGGAAAAUCAGGUAUUGUGAAUCCUCAUCCUACCUCUGCUGUGUGCAGACUGACAGUGAGAUAUUCCUGUAGUCCUGGUGGCUCAGUAUCUCUGAGUAAAAUGGGAGAUACUGAAUUUCUCUCAUAUCUAAUUCUGAUGCUGAACUCUAAUAUGUAUUCAAAAACUGAAGACCCUUCAGGGGAAAGCAAAGCAUUCACCCCCAUAUGUCCCACUGUGCCCUACAAGAGUGUCAUUGGUGGCAUCCUACGGAGUAGUCUGGAGCUGAAGCAGGGAAGUAGACUGCUACAAAGGUGUCUCGUGUCUCCCAGCACACUGACUCACUGCAAAGGUAUGGGCUGGGUUAUUACAAUUCUCAUUCCUACUUUGCUUUUGAAUUAUUAUUUUUUUCCAAAAUUUCACAUUUUUUCCUGUUUGACCAAAGGUUAAGUCACUCCUACACUAUGAAUGUCCUGAGGAUGGCUAAUAACUCCCUGCCCUGUGGCUGUAUGAAGUACGUGAGAUUUUCAGCAACUUCACAUCCCUGAAAGUAUUCCCUCUGCUCAUUUGGGUUUAGCUGGGCAAUGGACUCCUUCAUUACUGGAGGUAGUGACAAACUGGUAUACAGGCAAUCACCAUGAUGUCAGUCAAGGCCAGAUAGUAACCACGCUUGAUCCUCUCCUUCUUUCACUGCCUAACGCCACUGAAUGGAGAAGCAGACCAAUGGUUGUUGUCUGGGCCUUAAAUGGCUGCAGCCAAACCUUGUCUGGACGUGGGCUUAUGCUGCCAGUCACGACAAAGCUGUGCACGUGGUCUUAUAUUCUGUUUGUGUAUGUAAUGAAAAGCCAUUUUAUUAUCCAUCGUUUUCUUAGUCUCUGAGAUGACAAGCAGGAUUGGGUAUGAAAAAGGCCUUGUUUUUCCUUUCCAAAAAUACUCAAAGCCUGAUUUCUAAUAUAUGUAUCAUUAGAAAUAUUUAAGAAUAAGGAGAAGAAGAAGAGAGCCAAAUUCAGUGUUUCUUCUUGCAGCUAGAGCUGAAAUAGCUGCCAAGAUUUCCUCUCCCCAGCUAAGAAUUGGUACAGUUUGUUUCUUACAUAUUUUCCAUUGUGUUGAUAAUGAUGUAUUUGUAUAUUGUGGCUGACGAGAGAUAAUCAGACAGGGAAAGAGCACAGAAUUACCUGUUCUUUUUUCCAGUCAAGAUGAAUGUAUGAAAUUAUUACAAGAAAAAAAGUGUGCAAAUGAGCUUUCUGUAAUUCUGACCUGUGUAAAACCACACUUUGUUUGAACUUUAUAAAAACUAUAACUAGUACAAAACAUUGUGGUUGAUGUCUCUGUACGAAGCAACAAGUCAAAUGGGAUUUCUUUCUAUUCAGAAGAAAUGAGUAUUGGUAAAGUCCCAUCAACACACCUGACAAAAAAAACAGCCAUGCAUUUAUCCAAUUGAACUUCAUGUGUGAAUCAUAAAAAAUCGGUUGUUUUAAAUUUUCUUUGCCUCUCUCUCUUAUUCAUGUUCCUGAAUCUUUGGGACUGUUAGGAGAGUGCAAAGAUCUACCAAGACGGGUCAGAGUUGUGCGUGCUGACGCUUGGGGUCAUGAGGCAAGGAAGGAUGUAGGAUGAUUUUAUUGCAAAUAUCCCCACAAUAUCUUCAUACCUUUGGCUACCAAUGGCUUAUUGAGGAGGGCUAGUUGGCACAAAUGCGUGUUCUGGAUCAUGUAAGAGGGAGGGAAGUACAAAUGAGAAUGUAGAAACACAAUGGAAAUACAGAGAGCAAAAUAAAUUGGAGCUAGUUUCAGCCAGCAUCCAGAUUUCUAGGAGCAAACUUCACCUCAUCUGAGUUUUCAAGUCAUUGGCCUCACUGUAUUACUGCACUUUAAUAGUGUAUGAGAGAAAGAAGAAUCAGGACCACAAGAGUCACUAGAUUCUUUCCUUCUAUUCUAUGAGUUUAUCAUCUUUUUUCUACUUCCAUUAAGCUUUUAGCUUUAGCAGGCCUCACGGUGAGGACGCGGGGCUGGAAAUCCACCCGCACAAACAUGCA
rnacentral:lncRNA from 1 species